AUGAGCUCGUCAUUUCUUCCCAGAAUCCCAUGUUUAACUUCAAUCAUGAAAUCCAAAACCCAAUACACUUUGAUUCGACGGAACCAGAAACUUCCUCUCUCCAAGGAGAUUCCAGGCAUACUGAUGGGUCUGUCUAUUUGUGUGAUCAGAGGAGCUUCAUAAGGAGAAAAUGGAUGGAUGGAAAUGCCAAAGUGAUUCAGAUAAUCUUCCAUAACACAGACUGCAUCCAAAUCAAAGUAUUUCAAGAAAGACUGAAUAACUGGAGCACACAGUCCUGCUAGCAAUCAAAAAAUGAAAAAGCCAAGCUGCUGUUAAACUCAGUUAUUCUGUUAGCUUCCAUGGUAUUUAUACUGAUUUACAUUUAGUAUCUAGCUUCAACAUACAUCUUCUUGAUACUGUAGGGAAGCAAUCUUCAUAGUUGCACUGGUCAGGAGAGCUUUGCAAAUUAGCCUCAGCUGUCAAUACAGCCCAAGUAAAACCAGAGCAAAAGAACCAAGAAAAGAAUAUGCUGCUUAAUUGCUGAAAGAGAAAAGGAACUAAAUGUACUGCACAGUGUUUAAAAAGAAGUCUCGCACCAAGAACUGUUGCCCCAAAUAUAUAUAUCUGCUAGCAAAAGUAAAAGUGAUUAUCAUAGUGAGUGUUGAAAAAUGACAGUUUUAAGUCCUUGGACUCUCCUUCGCAAUAUAUACAAUUGCCAGUGCCUUCAACAGAAACUUCAUAUAAAUACCGGGAGUCGGAACUGGCUUCUCAGACAAACGUUUGUGCAUUCUAUCAAGUUGGGACAAAGCCAACAUCUCUUAUGGAAACAUUUUUGGUGGUCCUGGGCAAAGAACAUGUUUACUUUAUAGCAGAUACAACUAAAAAUACACUGUGCUACAGCCUCCAAUUAUCUUGUUUGGAAUAGUUUGAGGCUACUCGAGGUUCAUUGCUGUUAUUUUCUUUAUUAUAUAGUAAAAAUGUUGCUCCUUUUCCUGUAAUUUGAAAAAGCAGCUAUUUCAAGAUUUGACAUCUGUGUUUGUACCUCCCCCGCAUGGAUAACAAGAUCCAGGGUGAAAUUUUCCAGAGCGCCCAUCUCCCAUUUUCAAGAGCAACUCAGUCGAGCUUUCCCAGCCUCCGACCCGCUCUGGCAUCCUGCGAGUUGUUAAUGAAUCAGUUCUGCAUGAAUCACUUCCCAUGUGCAGACUGCGGGUUUCAUCACAGAGUAGAUUCUCACAGACUUUCCUCCUUGGUCCCGAUGACAAAGAACUACCUCUGCUACCAAAACAAGCCUUGAAGUUUCCACAAGGAGUUAACAGAAGGUGUGUGCCGUGUGAGAGAGGUGAAAAGGGUAGUGGAAGAAGGCUGUGUUAAUUUUACAACUCUGACUUUCUUAAUUAUGAGUCACCAGCAACGCAGGAGAAAUUCAGCUUAAAAAGUAAACCUAAAAGAGUGUGAUGUCUUAGGGGAACGCUGCAGAUUUAAGAUGAAAUGCCUCAUUAAAAGCCCACAGAAGUUAA